AGUGAACGCUGGCGGUAGGCCUAACACAUGCAAGUCGAACGGCAGCACAGUAAGAGCUUGCUCUUACGGGUGGCGAGUGGCGGACGGGUGAGGAAUACAUCGGAAUCUACUUUUUCGUGGGGGAUAACGUAGGGAAACUUACGCUAAUACCGCAUACGACCUACGGGUGAAAGCAGGGGAUCUUCGGACCUUGCGCGAUUGAAUGAGCCGAUGUCGGAUUAGCUAGUUGGCGGGGUAAAGGCCCACCAAGGCGACGAUCCGUAGCUGGUCUGAGAGGAUGAUCAGCCACACUGGAACUGAGACACGGUCCAGACUCCUACGGGAGGCAGCAGUGGGGAAUAUUGGACAAUGGGCGCAAGCCUGAUCCAGCCAUACCGCGUGGGUGAAGCAGGCCUUCGGGUUGUAAAGCCCUUUUGUUGGGAAAGAAAAGCGGCAGGUUAAUACCCCGCUGUUCUGACGGUACCCAAAGAAUAAGCACCGGCUAACUUCGUG
rnacentral:rRNA from 1 species